UACGAAGGGGGCUAGCGUUGUUCGGAAUUACUGGGCGUAAAGGGCGCGUAGGCGGUUGCUCAAGUCAGGCGUGAAAGCCCCGGGCUCAACCUGGGAAUUGCGCUGGAGACUAGGCGGCUUGAGUUCGGGAGAGGUGAGUGGAAUUCCCAGUGUAGAGGUGAAAUUCGUAGAUAUUGGGAAGAACACCGGUGGCGAAGGCGGCUCACUGGACCGACACUGACGCUGAGGCGCGAAAGCUAGGGGAGCAAACAGG
rnacentral:rRNA from 1 species